GGAUUCUCAUGAGUUUGAGGCCAGCCUGGGCUACUUAGUUCAAGGCCAGCUUGAACGACAUAGUAAGACCCUGUCUCAAAAAAAAGGAUUUCCCAGGAGACUUGAGUACUUGUGUCUUGCUUCCAUCCUGGCUUUUCUUUUGUGUGUCCAGACUCUGCUCUACUCUCCCACCCUGUCUGGGUUCUGGGACACACAGCUGGCAGUGGGACUGUAACAUCCCAUCCCCUUUGGCUUUGAGAUACCCCUGAGGUGAGAGAUGAGAACCCUGGUGUGAAGGUCUGUGGCUUCUUAUCGCUGUAGAGGUAAAUAGGCCUGUGGACAGAAGGAGCAUGAGGGGCCUUGAGUUACACUGAUCUGCCCUCCCUCUCUCCGUGCCUUGGGGUUUCCAGGAAGCAUUGGUCUGCCUGUCUAUUCCAGGGGAAACUUGGAUCCUUAAGGCUUCCCAUUUGCCUUGUGUCCCAGCAGCCCCUUGAGCCACCUAGCAGACUUUGGUCCAGGACAGAAGACCCUUGUGUGUGUCCUGUGGAGUGGCAGCACCCCAGCCAAUGUCUGGGUGGGAUUUGAGGAUCUCAGGGAGGUGCUGGCUCUUGGCCUUUGCCGAGGAAGGAGAAUUGUGUCCAGGGUUCCUGGGUUUGGUUGGCUGGCUGUGCAUAGGUGAGCAUGUGAGACUUGGGAGGAGAAAUAGGCUGGGUCCGGGGAUCUCCCUGGGGAGAAGGGACCAUAGUCCACACUGGAGGAGCCAUCUGUAAAGGAGGGGCCUGAGCACUGUUUGCAAGGGGCCCAGAGACACGCCUCUAAGGUCCCUCCCCUACUGAGCCACACGCCCACUGGCCAGUUGGAGCUCUUGCAUAUCUGGUGUCCUGCACACAUCUGGGCAGGGGGCACUGGAGCAUGAACAGCUCACAGGCAGACAGUGUGGCCCAAGCUGCUUGGCUGAGCUCCUGCUGCAACCAGUCUGGGGCACUGCCAGAGUCCCUGGAGGGGCCUCCAGUGGUGCAGGCUGUGGUGCUGGGCGUGCUGUCGCUGCUUGUGCUCUGCGGGGUCCUGUUCCUGGGCGGCAACCUCCUUGUCCGAGCCCAUGGCCUGACAGCGCUGCUGGCUUAUGAGCGGCGUGCAUCCCUUGAGGCUGAGACCAGUGGAGGUGACAACUAGGUGCCAGGCCGUGUUGGGGUUUGCAUGCCUUACACCUGCGAGAGAGGCCUUUCCCCCAUGCUAGAGUUUGGGGCACAGGUACUAAAGGGCAACCCUGCUGGGCUCUAGCACUGCCCUUCGCACUGGAGGCUGGGGAGAGACUGUUGCAGGCAUCUUCGGGGGGAGUGUGGCCUGCUCAGGUCUGGAGAACAGAUGUCGCCCAGAGCAAGGAGCUUUGUGGUAUGAGUUGGGGGUGUGUGGAUGGCAAGAUUGCUGGCAGCUGGGGUGCCUCAGGAGCACAUUGCUGCAGGAAGUGGGGCUGAGGAGUCCCAGCUGUGGGGGCUGUGUCUGGCUCUUUUUACCUCUGUCUGGUCAAAGACAGGAACCAUCUGGAAGAAAGGGCCUGGGUGGCCCAAAGGACAAGGCAACUCCAGGCCAAGGCUACCUUGCCUGGGCGGUAUGUGUGGCUUUCCCUCUGCAUCCCCUUUGUUCCGAGGUGCCAGGAGCUAGUGGGAGGUUCUGUGGGUGUUGCUGUUUGUUGGGGGUGACUGACCUCUCGCCCAUUUCCCUCUGAGAAGCGAGAGUCUUGCUGGGUACCAUGAGGAGGGCUGGUGAGGGGCAGUGGGAGGGCAUGGGCAGAUGCAGCUAAGCUGCUGCUUAGCUGACGACCACGUGUGAUUCCUGUGGAGCAGUUCGUGACUUGGCACUUAUCCUGGGCAGCUGUGCCGCAGUGGCCUUGCUACAUUGACUUCUGACCUUGAGGACACCACCCCCACCCCUGGAGAGAGGGCUCUCCAGGGCUGUGAAGAGUGUGUGACUGUGCCUGGCACCAGCACCCGGCUAGGGCCAGGGGGACAGACAUUCCCUCCCCCUUACCUUGCUGGGCCUUGGGUGGGGUGGGGAGAACGUCUUUUACCCAGGUUCUUCCAGCUUCUGACCUCGUGCAUUCUGCUGCUUUAGCGUGUUUCCCCUCACCUUGUCCCAGCGUUCUCCUCUCCUACCCCAACUGGGAUAGAGGGGCUCCAGAUCCCCGGGAACCCUUUCAUUUUACAAAGAGGGAAGCUCAGAGAAUUGAGAAAAGCUCUGAAACUCAGACAGAAGCAAGUAGCAUGCUUAAGAGAAUGGCAGAGCUGGAACUGGACCUGGGGCUCAUUCCUGCCCUGGGUUGCCCCUCCUGCUCUGGCCCCCCUCCCACUGUGUUCCCACACUGUUUGAGAGGCUGAUGCAAAAAUGUGCCCUCUCUCCAAAAGACCCACCCUUCAAUACACACCUUUAUGAACAGCUUGAGUCAGGGACUUGCAACCCAAGCUCCUGUCACUGCUUCCUCCUCUCUGCUUCCCCAGUGGCUUUUUCAGAUACCCCCCUGCUGCCAGAACAGUCUCCCAGAUGCUAGGCAGCAGCAGCUCCCCAGCCGGCUGGACUCAGCUUUCCUGGGUGGAACCUGAAGAGUGGGGAAAGACUGAGGGUUGCUAGAAUAAACACCUGUGGAGAAAGUCCAGGCAGGUGGAGCUGAGGGGUGAUGGCCUUGGAGUUGGUCUUUGGGUUCAAGUGUUUGGGGUGUUAGGGGUAUGGUGGAGGGAAGGGCUGUGUCCCCAGCAUCAUCAUGUCUGCUCAUACCCAGGACAGGGUGAGGAUCAUGACGGGGUAGGCAAAGAGUUUCCUCAACUUCCUGCCUUUGCUUUUCCUUCAUCAUAGUGUUUGGAAUGGGUGUGGGGUGUGCUGGGGACCUCAGUGUUCCUGGGGGGAAGAUACUGAGAUGUUUGCUUUGGAACACUGACCUUGAUCAGGCUGAGUGGGGAGGAAAAGAAUUUGGAAAAUGGUAACGUGAGUGCUGUUGUCACUCCCUCGGGCACUGGCAGGGAGUGAGAGAUGAGGGCCCAGUGUAGGUCUGAGCACCCGAAGAGCUCCAUCUGCCUGUGCUGUCCAUGGUGGCAUAACUUUCUUCCAGCCCAAGUUCACCCUGGGCUGGAAUAGGCUGCAGGGUCUAUCUGACCCCUCCCUAGGCCUCACAGCAGUGCAGCUUCCUUCCAGCAAGGGAGGGGACGGCCAUCUGUUACAGAUUCCUGAACCUUGGUGUGGUCUGUGGUCUGCCUUCGGGAGUACUCCCCUCCAGCUGCCCUCCGGAGAACUCCUGCCACCUUUGACCCAUUUGCCCCUGCACGUGACGGACUGGGAAGCACCUGGACUGUGGUGACAUCCUGGGGCCCUUGUACCCAGCUGUUGCCUCUGAGCUGCUCCCCUCAACCCUCUGAAAUACUGCUGGGUGUGGGGCCUGGGGGCUCUGUGCUCUAGGAAUGAUUACGGACUGCUGUGUGUCCUCCAGGACAUGGCCACAUAGACUGGGUGCUCCGUGCAAGAGAUGCUGUGCCCUCUGUCCACCAGGUCUCUGGACAUGAGCGCAGCCCCGUCCUGCCUGGUGCGAGCAGUGCAGAUGUGAGAGGCCACUGACAUGUCCCUGCUGAGGGCUACUGGUCAGUGCCACCCAUUUGGAAGCCCAGGGUACCUGAGCAAUCCAGAAAUGCCCCAUCACUUUCUAUGGCUAGUUAUUAAAUAUCCUGGUAAUGCAAAUUUCUGGUGUGUAGUCUGUUUCUAGCCCUUGACACUGUCGUUGGUUUGUCUUUUCCUUUGGUACUGGGGAUGGAACUCAAGACCUUCUGCUUGCAAGGCAGGCAUGGUGCUACUGAGCUAAAUCCCUGGCCCUUUCUUGACACUUUGGAUCUCAGUGUGUUGUUCAGGCUGGCCUUGGACUCACAGCAGUCUUCUGCCUCAGCCUCCCUAGUGCCGGGAUCAGGGGUGUGCAUCACCACACCUGGCCCUGCCCCUUGACUCUUAGUGGUUUGUUCCCUUCCCUCCAGGUUGACCUGUUUCUAGCAAAUACUGAAAUGCAGCCCCAACCAUGACCCCUGUCCCCUUGCCUUUCCUCUCUUGUGACCUUUUCCUCCUCAGCUCCAAGUCUUUCUGGAGGUGGAUUGACGCGUGCCAGCCCUUUGCUGCCUCUCUGUGGCCAGUAUGUGCAAGAGCACUGCUUCCUUCUGAGUAGCUGGAGGCUGGUGCUGAGAGGAGAGUGGGUUUUGUGUGCCCUGAGCUUCAGAUUGCAGACUUGCUUGAACCGCAGUCUCUCUGUCCAAGAAGUGGAAGCAGCAAUGACCUGGGAAGAUGGCCAUGUUUGUGUUUGUGUGGGGAAGAUGACUCAGUUGAGUUUGUCACCUGAUGUGGAAUUUGUGAACAGAAGCAAAAUUUUAUUGAACAUGUUUGAGAACCAAACUGUUUGCGAACAGAAGCGUUCAUGAACUGAGGCACCACUGUACCUGGAUUUGAAUUCUGACACCACAUUUAAACUGACUGUAAAGUUCCUGAGCAAGGAAUCAAACUCGGGACCCUGUGCUUGCGAGGCAGGUGGUGGAGCCACUGAGCUAAAUCCCCGGCCCCUGUAUCCAUGUUCUUUACAUCUCAUUGGAUCCCUGGACUUCACUUCAUUUCCUCCGCAGAUACGUACCACUGGCAGCUGCUUUGGAGGUUGAAUGUCCUUCUGGGAGUUGAUUGUUAGUUUCUAGGUAACACUCAGCCAGUUGACUUCUACAGAGACCCUUGGAAGGGGAGGUUGGAGAAGCAUCUUCUCGGUUUGCCUGCACCUUGCAGCUGGCUCACCCACCCUCACUCAUGGACCCUCACCCUACAAGAUGAGACCUGGGCUGCCUGAUGUUCUCCCAGCCUGUUCUGCAUCAGCACAGGACCCCACCCUGUUCCUGAUCUCCACAGGGUUCCUCAGCCCCUUACAGGGGGGCACGGGGGAGGGGGCAUGUGCUGCUCCAGGGGAUAGGCUUUGGAUUCUGUCUUUGACUAGCAUUCUUACUUCUUGGAUCAUGACUGCUUCCAGCUUCUCUGGGAAACAUCGCACCUCUGAUAGCCAGGUCUUGGGUCCAGUCCCAAAGCCAGCUCAGGUGGGCCAGUUCCAGGUGAUGCCAAAGCCAAAGGGUUGAGGGGAGUGCACUGAAGGGCAGUGCUGUGUGUCUUUUUUCUCCUUGAAUACUGAGAUUGAAUCCAGGGCCCAUACACUGAGUUACUUCCCCAACCUCUUAAAAUUUUUUUUUAUUCUGAGACAGGGUCUUGCUAAUUCAUUAAGUUGCCCAUGCUGGGCUUGAACUUGUAAUUCAGGCAUGUGCCACUUCACCCUUCUCAGUGCAGUAGUUUGAAUGUCUCACCAAAACUCAUGAUGUAUUAUUCUUUAUUAUUAUUAUUGUUAUUAUUAUUAUUAUUAUUAUUAUUAUUAUUUUGGUACUGGAGAUCUAAUGCAGGACUUCUCUAUCACUGAUUUACAUUCCCAGCCCUUUUUAUUUUUUGAGACGGUUUUGUUAAGUUGCCCAGGCUAGGGUUGCACUUGCUAGGCAGGUGCAACAAAUAUUUUUUUUGGUACCAGGGAUCAAAAACCCAGGACCUUGUGCUUGUGAAGCAGGUGCGGCGCCACUGAGCUAAAUCCCCAUCCCUUAGGCUUGCACUUUCGAUGAUUCUGCUACCUCAGCCUCCUCAGUAGCUGGCCUCAUGUUGAAAUUUAAUCCCUAUUAAGAAGUAUUAAGUGGGCAGAAACUUAAUGCAACUAUACCGUUUGGAGAUGGGACAUUUGGGAGGUAAUUAGGGUUGAAUGAGGCCAUAAUGGUGGGUCCCUAAUCAAGUGGGACUGUGGCUUUCUGAGAAGUGGAGAGAAUUGAGUAGGACAUUCUGUCUGGCCAUGUUCUGUCUUGGGACUCUGCAGCGAGUCCCCACCAGCAAGAACAGCCUUACCAUAAGUGGCUGCUUUAUGUUGGACUUCUCAGCCUUUAGAACAGUGAGCCAAACAAACCUUUAUCCUUUAUGAAUUCUUAGUCUGUGGUAUUAAGUUCCAGUAAAAGAAAACAAACUAAGACAAGUGGCAUAUUGUUGGAGGGUUCACCUGGUCCUCGUGGGAGAUUCCUAGGAGCAGGAAGGAGCAGGAGAUCAGCAGCCAGAUGUCAAGUCUCCAGUGGAUGUCAGGGCAGUCUGCAAUUCAUUCCUUCAUUCGUUCACUCAGUCAGUCUGCGCCUCUAUUUAUAAAGCACCUAACAUGCCAGGCUCUGCUCCAGGCCUGCAGGUGUAGCAGUGAGCAUAACAGCCAGAAGUCUCUGCCCUUGUGCUGCUUGCAUUCUUUUUAUUUUUUUUUUGGUGGUACCGGGGAUUGAACUGAGGACCUUGCACUUGCAAGGCAGGUGCAGUGCCACUGAGCUAAAUCCCUGGCCUGCUCCUUGCAUUCUUGAGAAGUGGAUUAGGUGAUGAACUCUGUGCAUAAUUUAGCAUAGAUACAGCAGAUGGUACGUUGGUGCCGAGGGCUGCUGCAACAAAUGACUACAAGAGCAGAAUUGAUUCUCUUACAGUUCUCUAGGCUGGAAGUCCCAGAUCCAGGUGCCAGCAGGGCCUUGCUCCCUCUCAAACCUGGUGGGGAAUCCUUCCUUGCCUCUUUCUAACCUCUGGUGGUGGCAGCAAUAUUUGAUGUCUCUGUCUUCAGAUUUCUUCCUUCUUGUAAAGACAUCGGUCAUUUUGGCUUUAGGGGCCUACUCCAUUCCAGUCUGGAAUGACCUCAUCUUUUUUUUUUUAAAUAACUUUAUUAUCAAACACAUACACAUACAGAAAUUAAAACCAUUCAAAGAAGAACAAUGCAAGGGAAAAAAACUACAAUAAUAUUCAAAUACAGUAGAACUCAAUGACCAAUAUUUUUUGAAUGAAAGGCUGAAUUGCUCCAAAAUGUCUUUUGCUACUGCCUUAAAACCAUACCAUUCUGAGUUUAUUUAUUUAUUUAUUUAUUUUCCCAUGGAAUGACCUCAUUUUAAUUUAACUGAUGAAUUCUAGCUGGGUGUGGUGGUUCACACCUGUAAUCCCAGAACUCUGGGAAGUUGAGGCAGGAGAAUCAUUGCAAGUUCAAGCCCAGCCUGGGCAAUUUAGUGACUUAUUGCUAACCUAUCUCAAAGUAAAAAAUAAAAAAGGACUGGGGCCGUAGUUCACUGUGAAGGCCCAGGGUUCAACCUCCAGUACUGAAAAAAAAGUUUAACUAAUUGCUUCAGCAGUGACUAUUUACAGACCCAGUUGCACUCUGCAGUACUGGGGGUUAGAACAUCAACAUGUCUUUGGGGGUGAUGGGAAUCAGUGCUAUGGAGAAAGGCAGACAGGGUGCAUGGGAGCGGAGGGAAAAGGCUGCACCUUUAAGGGAGGGUGCAUGGAGAAGGUGACAUUUGAGCCACCACCUGAAUGAGCAAAUAGAGGAGGGAGUUUGGGAGAAGCACUCUAGGCAAUGGAGCAAGUGCCAGACUGGUGGCCCGGAGAGGAGAAGGAGCAUCAGGGAGCCCCAGGGAGCUGGGUGCAGAGAGUGAGGGGCACCUGUGAGAACCGGGGAAUAUGAAGGUAGGGAGCAUAAGGGAUGCGGAGCCCCUGCAGCCUUGGUCCUGGGUGGGAAGAAUGAGUGAGAGGCUACAGGCCUGAAGAUGGGCUGUGCUAGUACCUCUUCCUUCGAAGCCCUGUAGACUGUGUUCUCCCCAAGCCCGAGAGUGAGCCAGAAAUGAGGUUAGCAUGGGCUCUUUUGUGCCCUGGGAGACAGGAAAGACGGGCAGCUCUUAGGCCUGAGUGUCUGCUGGGUGUGGUCCCCUUGUGCAAGAGGCCAGAGAUGGCCAGCAAGUGGGGCAGCUUCUUGCAUGUGUCCCCAUCCCUGCUGCCAUCCUCUCCUGUCCUAAUACACACUGAACUUCCCUGGAUGCCAAGGUCUCUUUCAGGGAAGGUUCAAGCUGGCUCUCAGAGCUCUGAGUAAGGACUUCAUUUAGCCACCUCUCUCCCUCCUACUACAGAAGGUUCCCUCAUGUGCGGGCCUUACUGUCCCUCUGCAUGCUCCCCUCAGCUUCCAUGAUGUUCACAGUUCUGCUUCAGGUGGCUACUCAUGGGGACCUCGGCCCGACCCUCUGCUAUUUCCCAGGCAGAGAUCGGGGUUCUAACUCCAGCCCUCUCUUCCUCCGCUAGGCCUCACCUUUCAGAGCCCCUCUUCAUCGACAGUUGACAGUCCACGCAGUCCCUCCCGUUUUCAUGACUUUGAGCCUAUUCCUUGCAAAAAACCCUGGCUCAAGAUGCAUUUGCCUCCUUCUUGGCCUGGCUUUCGAGAUAAGAGCCAUCAGAUUAGCUGGAAAUGUCUCUGUUCAAGCCAUCUGCUCAAAUGCCAGCUCCAUUAGGAGAAGGGUUUUAUUCACUGCACACAGAGGACUGUUAGGAAGCGUAUUUUUGAACGGAUGGCAUUGCCUUUAAAAUUUCUUCUUUAAUCAGAGAGAGGAGGGGGAACUGGAAAUGUGUCAUAGCUCUUCAGCUUUCUCAGGCACAAACAUGUGUCACCUCCCUGAAUCUGCUAGAAACUAAGGGAGGCACACUGGGGUUGAUCAUGUGACAUGCUGCUGGCAUAAUCAGAAGAGUUACAGAAAUGUUAUAGCAGAGUUUGAGGUGGACAUUUGGUAGGCUGGCGGAUACUGUCAUGCUCAUCUUUUUGAUUUAGCAUUAAUGAAGUUUCCUGAGGAAAUCAAGUAACACUCCAAAAUGUUCCCAAUACUGUCAGUUCUUCAGAUUCCACUCUUCAUGAGUUUGCAAAAAAAGGAAAAAAUGUUCAAUAUAUUUUUCUAGGUAGGCUAGCAAGGCCAAGAGGGACACAGCUGUGUCACUGGCUGAAAAUGUGAACAGCAUGCUCUUGGACCUGGGAAGCGUCCUGAAGUUUAUGGAAAUGAAAAUAUCGGGAAUGCAGUCAAUCACUUCAAAGGCACAGGUGGCUGCUAAGUGGAACAGUUUGCUGCCUGUUGGUUCCCAAUUUCAAAUGUAUCUUUUUGUUUAAAAUGUCUUUAUCACAUACCAAAUGUUACAGGAAUUGUAAGGGAAAUGAACUAAAAGUAGAAACAAUAUUUCAUCAUUUGUCAUUUGAGAAAUGAUGAAUAUUUCAAAACCAUUUGGUAGGAAGCAGGGGAUUAUGUCCCACCUUUCCUCCCCCAGGGGUAAGGCAGUGUUUCUCCAAGUGGGUUUCAAUCUCCUGUGGCCCCAGGAGCCCUAAUGGGUGUUAUAUAAGAAAAGGAUCCUGGCUGGGGCUUUAGCUCAGUGGUUCCACCCCCGCCUCAAAAGCGCAAGGUCCCAAGUUUGAUCUCUGGUACCAAAAAAAAAAAAAGGAUCCAGGGUCUUAUCAGUUGGGGGGAGGUUGUUGUGUUAAACAAGUUUCUUUAUUGCAGUUCCCUUCCUACAUACUCUCCCCCACCAUAUACUGGGGAUGGAAUCUAGGGCCUUCAUACUGAGCAAUCUCCCCCACUCUUUUUAAUUUAAAUUUCCAGACAGGGUCUCACCAAGUUGCUAAGUUGCCCAGGCUGAGCUCAAAUUUGUCAUCUUCCUGCCUCAGCUUCCCAGAGUGCUGGGAUUACAGUGUGUGCCACCACGCCCUUGCCACUGUAGUUCUUUUAAGGGGUAAUGGUUUGCAAAUAUUAUGAUGAAUAUAAAAGAGAGGCUGAAGCCAGGCAUGGUAGUGCACACCUGCAAUCUCAGUAAUUGGGAGGCCAAGGCCAGCCUGGGUUACAUAGUUCAAGGGCAGCCUGAAUACAUAGCGAGACCCUGUCUCACCCCCCACCCCCCAAAAAAAGAGAAAAGAAAGAGAGAGACUGAGGAGCGAGGAUUGCUGAGUCCAUCCUGGGCAAUAUAGGAGCAAGACCUUGGAGAAAAAGAGAGAGGGAGGGAGGGAGAAAGAGAGAGAGAGAGAGAGACUUUCUAAGUAGAUUUGAUCAAAGAAUUCUUUACCUUCCUUUCUACUGCUUUUUCCUUUUUUUGAUGCUGUGGUUCAAACUCAGGUUCUUGAGUCUGCUAGGCAAGGGCUCUGCCACUGAGCUGUACUUCCACACCUCCUUUUUUUUCUUUUUUAAAGGAGCCUCUCAUGGGACCACUGUUCUAAAAACCAUGCUUUGAGAAAUGUGCUAAAACCUCUCUCUCUCUCUCUCUCUCUUUUUUUCUGGUAUCGGGGAUCGAACUUGGGACCUUGUGCUUGUGAGGCAGGCGCCAGAACCACUGAGCUAAGCCCCUGGCCCCCUAUCUCUCUUUUUUUUGAGACAGGGUCUCACUACGUAGUUCAGGCUGGCCUGGCCUUGAACUCACUGUGUGGCCCAGACUAGCCUCAAACUUGUGAAUAUCCUCCUGCCUCAGUCUUCUGAGUGCUGGUAUUGCAGGUGUGUGCUACCACACCUGACUUUAAAACUUUCUCCUUAGAAGAGAAGAAAAUUUUAGAGAAGAUUAGAUCAUGCUACUUCAGAUAGCACAUUUUCUUUACUUUGUCAGAACAACAGUAUAAAAUUAAUUUUAUUUCCAAAGAUUAUAAUGCCAUAUUACUAAAUUUAAAUUUAUUUUUUUCCUAAGGAGUGAUUUAAAAAAAUAUUUCCGAACUACAACUUAAUGUGAAACAAACUUCUAUGCAGAGCAAUAGCCAAAUAUGUUCAAGAAUUUUAUGCAGAAUGCAAAUGUGGUCCCAUAAUUUCCUUUUUUGCACAACUUAUUUUAUCUAAAGUUCUUUGUGGUUUCAGCAAUGCUAUAGACCAAUGAUGGUGAACCUUUUAGAGCCUGCUGUGGCACGCAUGCCAUAGAUUUGCCACUACUGCUAUAGGUCUUGGCUGGUUUCCCUUCCACACAUAAGGCGGCUGUUGCAGAGGAAGCCCAUUCCUCACAGAGCUGUUUUUCGCUCUUUGGUUUGGCUGAUCACUACGGUAGCCCAGCAACCUUGUUGCCUGAAAUGAACUGACCCAGAGCCAAGGGUCAGUGGCCUAGGCUGCUGGCUGAGGCGCAGGAACUGGGGGCCAAGCCAAGGGCACCCAAAGGGCUGAUUUGCAGCUUGCAGGGAGGUUGGCUGCAUUUGCGGAGUGACUGGUAAUGUUUUACUGAGUUAAUCUGAGCUUACCUCCGUACAGCUUAUCACACUAUAUUUUCUGAUCUUCAGUUUCUGAGUUGUGCCAUCAUUGGCUUCCGUGGUUACGGUGGGGGGGGGGGUUGUCAUGUUGGCUCAUGUUGUUGUGAUGGAAAUGAACAGAUUCUUUAUGAAGCUACUUUAUUACAAAAAUAAGAAUGCUUUUGGAAAAAAAUGAACUUGGAAAUUUCUCACAGAAACCGAAAGUGGAAAUAAGAAGGACUGAAAUGUAUAAUGGAUGUUGGGAAAUGGGAAGAAAGUGUUCAAAUGGGAAAGGGAACA